rnacentral:rRNA from 1 species
AACGAACGCUGGCGGCAUGCCUAACACAUGCAAGUCGAACGAGACCUUCGGGUCUAGUGGCGCACGGGUGCGUAACGCGUGGGAACCUGCCCUUAGGUUUGGAAUAACUCCCCGAAAGGGGUGCGAAUACCGGAUAAUGUCUUCGGACCAAAGAUUUAUCGCGUUUGGAUGGGCCCGCGUUGGAUUAGCUAGUUGGUAGGGUAAAAGCCUACCAAGGCGACGAUCCAUAGCUGGUCUGAGAGGAUGAUCAGCCACACUGGGACUGAGACACGGCCCAGACUCCUACGGGAGGCAGCAGUGGGGAAUAUUGGACAAUGGGCGAAAGCCUGAUCCAGCAAUGCCGCGUGAGUGAUGAAGGCCUUAGGGUUGUAAAGCUCUUUUACCCGGGAUGAUAAUGACAGUACCGGGAGAAUAAGCUCCGGCUAACUCCGUG